UACAGAGGGUGCAAGCGUUAAUCGGAUUUACUGGGCGUAAAGCGUGCGUAGGCGGUUCAUUAAGUCGGUUGUGAAAUCCCUGGGCUUAACCUGGGAACUGCAGUCGAUACUGGUGAACUAGAGUGCGGUAGAGGGUGGCGGAACUCCGGGUGUAGCGGUGAAAUGCGUAGAUAUCCGGAAGAACACCGAUGGCGAAGGCGGCCCGCUGGGCAGAGACUGACGCUGAGGCGCGACAGCGUGGGGAGCAAACAGG
rnacentral:rRNA from 1 species